GUCUCUGUGGCACAAUUGGUUUAGCGCUCAGCUAAUGACCAAGAGGUUGGUGGUUUGAGCCCAGCCAGGGACA
rnacentral:tRNA from 1 species